rnacentral:rRNA from 1 species
ACACAUGCAAGUCGAACGAGAGAGAAGGAGCUUGCUUCUUCGAUUGAGUGGCGAACGGGUGAGUAACGCGUGAGGAACCUGCCUCAAAGAGGGGGACAACAGUUGGAAACGACUGCUAAUACCGCAUAAGCCCACGGGUCGGCAUCGACCUGAGGGAAAAGGAGCAAUCCGCUUUGAGAUGGCCUCGCGUCCGAUUAGCUAGUUGGUGAGGUAACGGCCCACCAAGGCGACGAUCGGUAGCCGGACUGAGAGGUUGAACGGCCACAUUGGGACUGAGACACGGCCCAGACUCCUACGGGAGGCAGCAGUGGGGAAUAUUGCACAAUGGGGGAAACCCUGAUGCAGCGACGCCGCGUGGAGGAAGAAGGUCUUCGGAUUGUAAACUCCUGUUGUUGAGGAAGAUAAUGACGGUACUCAACAAGGAAGUGACGGCUAACUACGUGCCAGCAGCCGCGGUAAAACGUAGGUCACAAGCGUUGUCCGGAAUUACUGGGUGUAAAGGGAGCGCAGGCGGGAAGACAAGUUGGAAGUGAAAUCUAUGGGCUUAACCCAUAAACUGCUUUCAAAACUGUUUUUCUUGAGUAGUGCAGAGGUAGGCGGAAUUCCCGGUGUAGCGGUGGAAUGCGUAGAUAUCGGGAGGAACACCAGUGGCGAAGGCGGCCUACUGGGCACCAACUGACGCUGAGGCUCGAAAGUGUGGGUAGCAAACAGGAUUAGAUACCCUGGUAGUCCACACCGUAAACGAUGAUUACUAGGUGUUGGAGGAUUGACCCCUUCAGUGCCGCAGUUAACACAAUAAGUAAUCCACCUGGGG